rnacentral:rRNA from 1 species
UACGGAGGGUGCAAGCGUUAUCCGGAUUCACUGGGUUUAAAGGGUGCGUAGGUGGGUUGGUAAGUCAGUGGUGAAAUCCCCGAGCUUAACUUGGGAACUGCCAUUGAUACUAUCAGUCUUGAAUAUUGUGGAGGUUAGCGGAAUAUGUCAUGUAGCGGUGAAAUGCUUAGAUAUGACAUAGAACACCUAUUGCGAAGGCAGCUUACUACGCAGAUAUUGACGCUCAUGCACGAAAGCGUGGGGAUCAAACAGG